rnacentral:sRNA from 1 species
UAUUAUUGUGCAUUGUGUUAAUGGUCUUUAUUCGUACCCAAACCGUUUGCCUUUGAUUUCGCUAAUGUAUUGAAAAAUUUUGGUUGCUCGCUCUCUGUCAUGCUUGUGGUAGUGCGUGCUGCUGCUAAUGCAAGACAAGACCUCCUUUGCAUUCUACUACACAUGUGUACAUAGAAAUCUCCAGCACAUACAAA